rnacentral:rRNA from 1 species
CCUACGGGAGGCAGCAGUGAGGAAUAUUGGUCAAUGGGAGAGAUCCUGAACCAGCCACGCCGCGUGAGGGAAGACGGCUCUAUGGGUUGUAAACCUCUUUUGUCGGAGCACAAAACCCGGGACGUGUCCCGGACUGCGUGUAUCCGAAGAAAAAGCAUCGGCUAACUCCGUGCCAGCAGCCGCGGUACUACGGCGGAUUCGAGCGUUAUCCGGAUUUACUGGGUGUAAGGGGAGCGUAGGCGGCAGUGCAUGUCCGGAGUGCAAGCCCGGGGCUAAACCCGGGGACUGUUUGGGAAACUGUAAGGCGGGAGUGCGGGAGGGGCAGGCGGAAUUCCUGGUGUAGCGGUGAAAUGCGUAGAUAUCAGGAGGAACACCGGCGGCGAAGGCGGCCUGCUGGACCGUAACUGACGUUGAGGCUCGAAAGCGUGGGGAGCAAACAGGAUUAGAUACCCGAGUAGUC